rnacentral:rRNA from 1 species
AACGAACGCUGGCGGCGUGGAUAAGACAUGCAAGUCGAACGGGAUUUUUUUCUGUAGCAAUACAGGAAAAAGUCUAGUGGCGAACGGGUGCGUAACACGUGAGCAACCUGCCGUGAAGUGGGGGAUAGCUCGCCGAAAGGCGAAUUAAUACCGCAUGUGGCCAAGGAAGACAUCUGCCUGACGCCAAAGCCGGGGAAACCUGGCGCUCCUCGAGUGGCUGGCGGCCUAUCAGCUUGUUGGUGAGGUAACGGCUCACCAAGGCUAUGACGGGUAGCUGGUCUGAGAGGACGACCAGCCACACUGGAACUGAGACACGGUCCAGACACCUACGGGUGGCAGCAGUCGAGAAUUUUUCACAAUGGGGGAAACCCUGAUGGAGCGACGCCGCGUGGAGGAUGAAGGUUUUCGGAUUGUAAACUCCUGUCAUUAGAGAACAAGGCACACGGUUUAACUGGCCGUGUGUUGAUAGUAUCUGAAGAGGAAGAGACGGCUAACUCUGUGCCAGCCGCCGCCGUAA